rnacentral:rRNA from 1 species
CUCAUGACGAACGCUGGCGGCGUGCUUAACACAUGCAAGUCGAACGGAAAGGCCCUGCUUUUGUGGGGUGCUCGAGUGGCGAACGGGUGAGUAACACGUGAGUAACCUGCCCUUGACUUUGGGAUAACUUCAGGAAACUGGGGCUAAUACCGGAUAGGAGCUCCUGCUGCAUGGUGGGGGUUGGAAAGUUUCGGCGGUUGGGGAUGGACUCGCGGCUUAUCAGCUUGUUGGUGGGGUAGUGGCUUACCAAGGCUUUGACGGGUAGCCGGCCUGAGAGGGUGACCGGCCACAUUGGGACUGAGAUACGGCCCAGACUCCUACGGGAGGCAGCAGUGGGGAAUAUUGCACAAUGGGCGGAAGCCUGAUGCAGCAACGCCGCGUGCGGGAUGACGGCCUUCGGGUUGUAAACCGCUUUCGCCUGUGACGAAGCGUGAGUGACGGUAAUGGGUAAAGAAGCACCGGCUAACUACGUGCCAGCAGCCGCGGUGAUACGUAGGGUGCGAGCGUUGUCCGGAUUUAUUGGGCGUAAAGGGCUCGUAGGUGGUUGAUCGCGUCGGAAGUGUAAUCUUGGGGCUUAACCCUGAGCGUGCUUUCGAUACGGGUUGACUUGAGGAAGGUAGGGGAGAAUGGAAUUCCUGGUGGAGCGGUGGAAUGCGCAGAUAUCAGGAGGAACACCAGUGGCGAAGGCGGUUCUCUGGGCCUUUCCUGACGCUGAGGAGCGAAAGCGUGGGGAGCGAACAGGCUUAGAUACCCUGGUAGUCCACGCUGUAAACGGUGGGUACUAGGUGUGGGGUCCAUUCCACGGGUUCCGUGCCGUAGCUAACGCUUUAAGUACCCCGCCUGGGGAGUACGGCCGCAAGGCUAAAACUCAAAGGAAUUGACGGGGCCCCGCACAAGCGGCGGAGCAUGCGGAUUAAUUCGAUGCAACGCGUAGAACCUUACCUGGGUUUGACAUGGAUCGGGAGUGCUCAGAGAUGGGUGUGCCUCCUUUGGGGUCGGUUCACAGGUGGUGCAUGGCUGUCGUCAGCUCGUGUCGUGAGAUGUUGGGUUAAGUCCCGCAACGAGCGCAACCCUUGUUCACUGUUGCCAGCACGUUAUGGUGGGGACUCAGUGGAGACCGCCGGGGUCAACUCGGAGGAAGGUGGGGAUGACGUCAAGUCAUCAUGCCCCUUAUGUCCAGGGCUUCACGCAUGCUACAAUGGCUGGUACAGAGAGUGGCGAGCCUGUGAGGGUGAGCGAAUCUCGGAAAGCCGGUCUCAGUUCGGAUUGGGGUCUGCAACUCGACCUCAUGAAGUCGGAGUCGCUAGUAAUCGCAGAUCAGCAACGCUGCGGUGAAUACGUUCCCGGGGCUUGUACACACCGCCCGUCAAGUCAUGAAAGUUGGUAACACCCGAAGCCGGAGGCCUAACCGUUGUGGGGGAGCCGUCGAAGGUG